CCCAUAACCUCCUUAUACAGUUGUUAUAUACACAUAGAUAAACACAGAGUUCCCUCAUGUUUCUGAUUUGGUCUACGAGAACCCUAAGAGCCCACCGCCUACUACAGCUAAGCGUUCUUCAAUCGCGACACGUUGGUGUAGUUUAUCACCAGGACGUCUUCCUUCUCUUCCUGCGAGUUCAAGGUUAGUGAUACACUCCUAUCAGCCUUAUCCGAACCCAAUUCCGACACGAUUCUGAUCCAACAGGUAGAUGAAAUGGCGGAAGGGCGUCAAAAUGGUGAAAAUUCAAACCCUCCACCUUCCUCGAAGUCGACAACAGCAUCGGAGAUCCAUAAUAUGUUUGAGAAGGAUUGCCCUCUUGGUACCAACAAAAAAUUCUUGGUACCUAUAAAAAAUGUUACAGGAUGUUUCGAAGGAUGUUUCGAGUGCCCUACUGAUGAGUUUCCUCAUCAUGCUCUCUCUGUUUUUUUUUUUUUUUUUUUUUUGAGGGGUAUAACCGAAACACACUAUCUUUACGAAUAUGGUAAAAAGGCCAGGCCCACGUCUUUUUUACAUAUAUAUCACGAAAUUCAGGGCAAGCUCCAUGGUGUUACUUCAGUGAUAAAAUUUCAACCGAAUGUAAAACAACAAAGACUGCAAUGAAUGUUAGGUGACAAAAGAGAAGGUGAAGAAAAGAGGAGUAUGCCUUUGCAUAGUGUUGCGGGCAGUUUAUUCUCACUGUCGGUUUACCCCACUCUCCUUUUUCUCCUCCUGAAUCCUCGCUACUACAACCGCCCCUCCUAUUCCAUUCUCAUUCUCAUACUUACAUUCUUCACCUAUUCCCCCAAACCCUAAAGCAAUUCAAAAUUCAUCCAACUUUACAGUCCAUUGGAGUGGUGCGAUUUCAUCACCAAUCCAUGGGAUUCGUUACCAACAACGCUACUACUUCAUCGCAUCGCAAAGUAGUCAAUGGUUCAGAACCAAUGUUAUUCAGGAUCAUCAUGGUCCAGUCAUCGAGAUGGCAUGUCACGCUUCUGGUGGAUUGCUGGUAACAGCUGGAGCCGAUGCCAAAAUACUUGUAUGCUUUUUUCUGGAUACGAUGAUACAUACGUGUCUGUUGAGUGGCGGCAGAGAUCAGAUAAUUUUGAACCAUUUGUUUCCUCAAGUGCAUUUGUUGAUUAUUAGCUAAUGAUUUAUGUUAUUCUUUUCUUUAUUUUGGAAUGAUUUAUGUGAUGAUAACUUCAGGUUGUAAACUUGUGGAAUCUCCAAGACUAUAACUGCACAACAAGUAUACCCACCAAUGAAGCAAUUGACUUUGUAUGAAGUCUGCAAAGCACGAAAACUUGUGACAAGUCAGCAUUUCAUCUAAAUCUGGUGCUGCGGUUCUUGCGAAAGAUGAAGAUGGCAAAGAUGAUGAAGAGACGCUACCUGUAAAUGAAUAAUGCCUAUGGCUAACUGAAUGGAGAAGGACGGGAGGAGAGAAGUAGCAAUUGCAUUAAAGAGAACAUUAUUGAAUGACUCAAGUUUUAUGCCACUCCUCAGGAAAAGGCCAAAGCACUUGGAUUAAGGCCUGGGCCCAAAUAUUAUGAACUACAAGAAGGAAUGUAUAUGAGAUCAGAUUUAAAAGAUAUCAUGAUUCAUCCUGUUGAUGGACCUGGACCUUCAGUUCCUGGGCCAGGGUUCUCCUUGUAGCUUGCCCAUUCUCUCAUUUUCAAGAAAUAUCAUUUGCACAAUCUAUCGAGGAGAAUUAUUAUGUUGAUACUGCAGAGGAAAAACAGAAAGUGUCAAUUAUAUAAUUCAUUCAAGUCCAUUGUCAAUGUAAACUCUAGUGAUGAUCAAAUGUGGAUGUCAAGUUUUGGUGUGGCUGAGCAUAUGAUGCAGGACAUCUAAUGUAACUGUGUAAGUGUAUAGGAACUGAGUUACAUUUAGUUAUCCAUAGUUGGAACCCAUGAUCUGCUAAAGAUUUUGACUUAUACAUCAAAUAUGAACCUUUUUGAUGAAA
rnacentral:lncRNA from 1 species